AUAUAUAUACAUAUAUAUGUAUAUGUACAUAUUUGCAUAUAUGCAUGGGUAUACGUAUUUGCAUAAGUAUGGGCAUGUAUACUUACCAUUUACACAAUAUAAGGUUUAUACUGCAUUAUAGAUAUAUGUAAGAUACAUGAUAGGUUGGGCUGGUGGCUCAUGCCUGUCAUCCUAACUACUUGGCAGGUAGAGAUCAUGAGGGUUGAAGUUCAAGGUCAGCUUAGGCAGAAAACUUUGCAAGACUUUAUCUCAACCACUAUCUGGGUGCAGUGGCUCAUUCUGGUCAUUCCAGCUUUGAGGGAGGCUGAGAUAGAAAGGAUGGUGGUUCUAGACCAACCUGAGCAAAAAAUGCUUGCACACCUAAUCCAACAGGAAAGGCUGGGUGAAGCAAGCAUGCCACCCCAGCUGUGUUGGGAAGCAUAAAUUAGGAGGAUCAUGGUCCUGGGGAAAAAGCAAGACACCAUCUAAAAUACAAUCAUCACAGCAAAAAAAAAAAAAGUCUGGAAGUAUGGCUAAGCAGUAGAGCGCCUGCCUAGCAAGUGCAAAGUUCUGAUUUAAAACUCCAAUGCCAC